AUUGAACGCUGGCGGCAUGCCUUACACAUGCAAGUCGAACGGCAGCACGGGAGCAAUCCUGGUGGCGAGUGGCGAACGGGUGAGUAAUACAUCGGAACGUGCCCAGUAGUGGGGGAUAACCCGGCGAAAGUCGGACUAAUACCGCAUACGACCUAUGGGUGAAAGCGGGGGAUCGCAAGACCUCGCGCUAUUGGAGCGGCCGAUGGCAGAUUAGGUAGUUGGUGAGGUAAAGGCUCACCAAGCCUUCGAUCUGUAGCUGGUCUGAGAGGACGACCAGCCACACUGGGACUGAGACACGGCCCAGACUCCUACGGGAGGCAGCAGUGGGGAAUUUUGGACAAUGGGCGCAAGCCUGAUCCAGCAAUGCCGCGUGCGGGAAGAAGG
rnacentral:rRNA from 1 species